rnacentral:rRNA from 1 species
UACGUAGGGGGCAAGCGUUGUCCGGAUUUACUGGGCGUAAAGCGAGUUAAGGCGGUUGGCAAAGUUGGUUGUGAAAUCUCAGGGCUCAACCCUGAAAUUGCGACCAAUACUGGUCGACUAGAGUGCAGGAGAGGAAGGUGGAAUUCCCGGUGUAGUAGUGAAAUGCGUAGAUAUCGGGAGGAACACCAGUGGCGAAGGCGGCCUUCUGGCCUGCAACUGACGCUGUAGCUCGAAAGCGUGGGGAGCGAACCGG